rnacentral:Y_RNA from 1 species
AGCUGGUCCAAAGGUAGUGACUUAUCUCACUUGAUUCUUUAGUCAUUUAACUAAACUCCUUGUUUUACUACUUUACCCCCUUCUCACGACUGUACUUGUCUAAAAA